rnacentral:rRNA from 1 species
GAUGAACGCUGGCGGCGUGCCUAAUACAUGCAAGUCGAGCGAACAGAUGAGGAGCUUGCUCCUCUGACGUUAGCGGCGGACGGGUGAGUAACACGUGGAUAACCUACCUAUAAGACUGGGAUAACUUCGGGAAACCGGAGCUAAUACCGGAUAAUAUAUUGAACCGCAUGGUUCAAUAGUGAAAGACGGUUUUGCUGUCACUUAUAGAUGGAUCCGCGCCGCAUUAGCUAGUUGGUAAGGUAACGGCUUACCAAGGCAACGAUGCGUAGCCGACCUGAGAGGGUGAUCGGCCACACUGGAACUGAGACACGGUCCAGACUCCUACGGGAGGCAGCAGUAGGGAAUCUCCGCAAUGGGCGAAAGCCUGACGGAGCAACGCCGCGUGAGUGAUGAAGGUCUUCGGAUCGUAAAACUCUGUUAUUAGGGAAGAACAAAUGUGUAAGUAACUAUGCACGUCUUGACGGUACCUAAUCAGAAAGCCACGGCUAACUACGUG